GGGGCAUGUACUGGAGGUGAGAUGCUUCUUUCAUGAGGAGGAACUGACUGCUUCCGUUUUCCCAGAAUUCUAUCAAAUAUCUUUCAAGUGUCCACAUGUACCCAAGCGACGCACAUUCCUCACAUAGAGGAAGGCAAGGAAAGGUGGCAGAGAUCCUUCAAUCCAGACUGUGAAGAAAACCCUUGAGUUAAGACAUUAGACAUCUGUGCAACUCAUAACUUCCAUCAUUCCAACUUGCAGUGCCUCCAUGGUAAGUAAAGAAAGCAUGCCACACCCAGACACCUGGUCUGCGAGCACGGAAGGCUUCCGAACUGUCCUUCCCCUCUGGUAAACUGCAGUUCCCUUCGUAAAGAGAAGAGAAGUGACCAUCUGAAGCCUAUGAACUGCUGUCCUUUACGAGAAGGCUUUCUUCUGCUCAUCAAGUUAGAAGAACUGUAAGGACGGAGGACUUGGAGUCUCU
rnacentral:lncRNA from 10 species